GAACUGUGAGAUGUCAACGGAGAACAGAAGCUGGAAUGUGAACACAGAGGAAGGGGCAGACUGGAUGUGUGAGAUCGCGAAAACAUAUGGCGAUGUCAGGUGGCACAAAGAAAAGGAAAUAGAACUUGUCACCAUCUUCAGUCCUUUAUUUUAUUCACUGGAGAACAUCACAGCCUUCAGAUGUGUCAUAUCAGGAUAAAUGCAACUGCAGGACUCGUCGGGCCCACCCCACUACAGAUUCACCAAGGAUCCAGCUGAUCACUGCCAAUUUGAAGGAGGAUUGUCCUUUAUCUGCUACAUUGCACUCUCACAUCUGAGGCUGUUAAGAAGACUGCACUGAUGUCAAAGAUCAACCAGCAAGAAUCUGAGAGGGAACUCUCAAAAUGGUUUACUGGGACAAGAGACAGAGGAGGACUGAGGGUGUCUAGAAUGCACAAAUGUCUGUCUGCAGUGUAAGCAGUACUGAAAAAUGUAUAGUUGCUGCUGCUGUUUCUUACUGUCUCUGUUUUCUAUGUGCAAAUGUUCAAAGCUUUCAGUAAACACUGGUUCAAAUACAAGUUCAAAAUGUUUGUUAACUUUAACAAUUAAAUGAUUUUAACAGUUAGGUAUCAGAAUAUAGCAUAUGAUGGGUAGUUUCAAUAAAAUUGAAAUUUGAAAAGAUUUCAAUCUCACUGUGUACUGCUGAAUGCUAAUGCUUUAAAACUUUAAAACUUUUUUUUUUUUUUUAAUCCCACUUGCAAGCCAUACUUUAUCCCAUGUAGUUCCCACAUAGAGUUUGAAGAUGGGACCUAGGUAGGUUUUGUGUAUGUUUCAUAGUUGGGCCCCACCUUAAACCCAGUGAAAUCCUAAAUAAAACCCACAUUGGUAAAUUGCAUGGGGCCAACAUGGAACCCGUGGACAAACCCAUGUAAAACCCAUAUUUAGA